rnacentral:lncRNA from 1 species
GCGGAGACCUCCAAGGGGCCCUCGAUCUCGUCGAGGGUGUAGGUGAGGCGCGUCAUGAGCUUCGUCUUCUGAAACUCGGCGGGGCUGUUCUUGCUCACGCCCUCCGCCUUCACGGUGAAGGACGUGGGCUCCAGGCACAGCUUCUUGGCGUUGUACUUGCCCGCCUUGAACGCGAACUUGUCCACGCCGCCCUCGAUCGUCGGGCACUGGUUCGCCGUUCCGCUGCCUUUCACUUCUACGUAGGUUUUGCUUUGGAUUUCGUCGAAGGUUAGCCUCUUCGGCACUCCUUCCGCAUUUGCUCCCUACCAACACAACUCCAUUUCAUCUUUCUUUUCCAAACAUUCAUGCAAAAUAUUUGUAUCACGCUUCUCAAUUAAUUCUCUCCAAAUUAAUGUAAAAUGUAAAUGUCUACAUAACUUAAUUAAAUGUGCGACGAAUUAACGACCUAAUUGGAUGUCUAUGCAACUUGAGCUACUCACACUAAUACUUAUUUGUCACUUCAACUAGCUAGGAUGAUAUUAAUUCAUUGAAAGAUCGUGUAUUUAAUUAGAGACAUAACUGAUUUUAAUUAAUGCGCUAAAUGAGAAUAAGACGAAAAGUUAGGAUAUAUACUACGAUAUAAACGUAAGAGUUGAUGGAAGAGUUAAUUAUACUCGUCGUUCCUAGCUAUUAAGGAGGAGUCGGGUAUUUUUUAGGACAAUAACUUAUGUUGAUUUGGAAAUUAGGACAAAAACUUUCGGACUUGUAAAAAUAGGACACUAAUUUUUUUUAGAGUAAAAUAUGACACUAAUUAAUAAGCGUCGUAAAAUAGGACAUUUCUCGGCCGAUAAUUGGCCGAAAAUGUCUUGCGGAUGCAACACUUAUUAAUUAGUGUCCUAUUUUAUUCUUAAAAAAAAUUAGUGUCCUAUUUUUACAAGUUCGAAAGUUAUUGUCCUAAUUUCCAAAUCAAUCUAAGUUACUGUCCUAAAAAACCCUCGAACUCAGGCAGAGCUUUCAGCAAAUAGUAGGAAUGGCUGCGAUUUAUUGAAGCAAGUAAAAAGCGUUGAUGAGAAACGGAUGUAAAGGAGAAAUACCGAGACGACAAGGGCGGAGGUUGCGAGAGCAAAGCCAGCAAUCUUGGCAGCAUCGGUGCAUUUCUGAGCAAAGUCGUGAAGAGAGCAAGUCAGUCUGGCGGCGGAGGGCUCGACGCCGAAGGCCUUGCCGACGCCUUGGACAGGGCGGAGUUGGCGGCCAAGCUUGGU